AAUACGAAAAGAAACUCGAAGAGGAAAUGGAGGAACAUAGAAAAUACAUAAAGAAACUCGAAGAGGAAAUGGAGGAACGUAGAAAGAAACUCGAAGAGGAAAACGAAGAAUUUAGAAGGAGGUUGGCGUUGUUCAUCGGUAAGAUAUUUAGUUUCUUACCUUCAACCAUAUGAUUCCCGGCCAUGCUCUGCAAAUUCCAAAUCCUUGCGGUUAUGUAUUUAUUACGGCCAUUUUUGUAAACAA